GACGAACGCUGGCGGCGUGCCUAAUACAUGCAAGUAGAACGCUGAAGGAGGAGCUUGCUCUUCUGGAUGAGUUGCGAACGGGUGAGUAACGCGUAGGUAACCUGCCUGGUAGCGGGGGAUAACUAUUGGAAACGAUAGCUAAUACCGCAUAACAGUAGAUGUUGCAUGACAUUUGCUUAAAAGGUGCAAUUGCAUCACUACCAGAUGGACCUGCGUUGUAUUAGCUAGUUGGUGGGGUAACGGCUCACCAAGGCGACGAUACAUAGCCGACCUGAGAGGGUGAUCGGCCACACUGGGACUGAGACACGGCCCAGACUCCUACGGGAGGCAGCAGUAGGGAAUCUUCGGAAAUGGACGGAAGUCUGACCGAGCAACGCCGCGUGAGGGAAGAAGGUUUUCGGAUCGUAAAGCUCUGUUGUAAGAGAAGAACGAGUGUGAGAGUGGAAAGUUCACACUGUGACGGUAUCUUACCAGAAAGGGACGGCUAACUACGUG
rnacentral:rRNA from 1 species